rnacentral:rRNA from 1 species
AGUGAACGCUGGCGGUAGGCCUAACACAUGCAAGUCGAACGGCAGCACAGUAAGAGCUUGCUCUUACGGGUGGCGAGUGGCGGACGGGUGAGGAAUACAUCGGAAUCUACUUUUUCGUGGGGGAUAACGUAGGGAAACUUACGCUAAUACCGCAUACGACCUACGGGUGAAAGCAGGGGAUCUUCGGACCUUGCGCGAUUGAAUGAGCCGAUGUCGGAUUAGCUAGUUGGCGGGGUAAAGGCCCACCAAGGCGACGAUCCGUAGCUGGUCUGAGAGGAUGAUCAGCCACACGGGAACUGAGACACGGUCCAGACUCCUACGGGAGGCAGCAGUGGGGAAUAUUGGACAAUGGGCGCAAGCCUGAUCCAGCCAUACCGCGUGGGUGAAGAAGGCCUUCGGGUUGUAAAGCCCUUUUGUUGGGAAAGAAAAGCAGAGGUUAAUACCCCGCUGUUCUGACGGUACCCAAAGAAUAAGCACCGGCUAACUUCGUG